AAAUAGAAGUAUGGAGGGUGAGGCCUGCCCAAUGGUUGUAUCCAAAAGCAGUUGAUAAAAGUCGGCUUCGUAAGGACAAUUGAAUGGCCGCGGUAACACUGACCGUGAUAAUGUAGCGUAAUCAAUAGCCAAUUAAUUGUUGGCCAGUAUGAAUGGCGCCACGAAGGCCCCACUGUCUUAAGGAAAUUCCCAGUGAAAUUGAAUUCGUAGUGAAGAUGCUACGUCCAAUUUGUUAGACGAAAAGACCCCGUUGAGCUUUACUGGGCACUUACACGGCCCCGGCCUUCGAGACUAGGUGUGAUAAGCCAAGGCUUCCCACACCUAGGGACCGGCCGAAUUUAAAUGGGCGGCUUAGACUAUGUGGCAGUCCCCCCCGUCGGGGCAGAUGAAACCCCACUCCCCCAUGUCAAAGGGGCUAACCCCCCCCCUUGGGGGGGGGACAGUGUAAGUAGGACAGUUUGGUUGGGGCGACCGCCUUUUAGAUAGUAACGAAGGUGCGCUUAAGGUGCGUAAUUAAUGACUGAAGCCUGACUGCGAGGGGGACACCCCGAGCAGACACCCCCAAGCCCGCCCGAAGGGCGGCGGUGGGGUGGGCCAUAGUGACCCGUUAAUUUAGAGUGGUAUAGUUAACGAUCAACGAAUAAAAGUUACCACGGGGAUAACAGCGUAAUAUCGUUAGAGAGUUCACAUCGACGACGAUGUUUGCGACCUCGAUGU
rnacentral:rRNA from 1 species